GACGAACGCUGGCGGCGUGCUUAACACAUGCAAGUCGAGCGGUAAGGCCCUUUCGGGGGUACACGAGCGGCGAACGGGUGAGUAACACGUGGGUGACCUGCCCUCAGCUCUGGGAUAAGCCUGGGAAACUGGGUCUAAUACCGGAUAUGACUCCAUGACGCAUGUUGUGGGGUGGAAAGCCUUGUGCGGCUAGGGAUGGGCCCGCGGCCUAUCAGCUUGUUGGUGGGGUGAUGGCCACCAAGGCGACGACGGGUAGCCGGCCUGAGAGGGCGACCGGCCACACUGGGACUGAGACACGGCCCAGACUCCUACGGGAGGCAGCAGUGGGGAAUCUUGCGCAAUGGGCGAAAGCCUGACGCAGCGACGCCGCGUGAGGGAUGACGGCCUCGG
rnacentral:rRNA from 1 species